rnacentral:rRNA from 1 species
AACGAACGCUGGCGGCGCGCUUAACACAUGCAAGUCGAACGAGAAGGCGUAGCAAUACGCUUGUACAGUGGCGAACGGGUGGGUAAUACGUGGGCGACCUACCCUCGAGUGGGGAAUAACCCGCCGAAAGGCGGGCUAAUGCCGCGUACGCUUCCAUCUUUAUGGAGGUGGAAGGAAAGCCGUGCCGUGGGCACGGCGCUCAAGGAUGGGCUCACGUCCUAUCAGCUUGUUGGUAGGGAACGGCCUACCAAGGCUCCGACGGGUAGCUGGUCUGAGAGGACGAUCAGCCACACUGGCACUGCGACACGGGCCAGACUCCUACGGGAGCAGCAGUGAGGAAUAUUGCGCAAUGGGCGAAAGCCUGACGCAGCGACGCCGCGUGGGGGAU